CUACUUCCCGGUGGUCGCCCUCGCCGUCAUGUCAAUUGGGAGCGUGCUCACCACCACCAACCCCCUCAACACGCCGGGAGAGAUUGCGAAGCAGGUGGCCGACUCCAAGGCCCAGUUUGCCUUCACCACCUCGGCCUUGCUCUCCAAGCUCUCCGUCGGCGCCGCCGCGUGCCUGCCCGUCGUCAUUCUGGACUCCGAUGCCGAGCUCCCCCGUGACUCACGGGUCGUUUCCAGCAUCAAGGAGAUGAUGGCGAACGGCUCGGGCCGCCGUGCUGCGUACGAGCAUGUGAGCCAGGACGACACAGCCACACUUCUGUACUCAUCCGGAACAACGGGGGUGAGCAAGGGGGUGGCCUCGACUCACCGGAAUCUGAUAUCGAUGACGGAGAUCGUCCUCAACCGAUUCAAGCUGGAUGAAUCGAUCGGCGGCAAGAACCACGUCUUCGUCUGCACGGUGCCGAUGUUUCACAUCUUCGGCCUGGUUGCCUUCGCAACGGGGAUGCUGGGGUCUGGGUCGACGGUGGUGGUGUUGUCCAAGUUCGAGAUGGGGGAGAUGAUGUCCGCCAUCGCGACCCACCGCGUCACCUACCUGCCCCUGGUGCCACCGAUCCUGGUGGCGAUGACCCAGCACGCGCAGGCGAUCCGAGCCAAGUACGACCUGAGCUCACUGAAGUCGGUGCUGUCAGGCGGCGCGCCGGUGAGCAGGGAGGUCAUCGAGGGGUUCGCGGAGAAGUACCCGGGGGUGGAGAUCCUGCAGGGAUACGGGCUGACGGAGAGCACCGGAAUUGGGGCGUCGACGGACUCGGCGGAGGAGAGCCGGCGUUUUGGCACGGCGGGGAUGCUAUCGCCGAACACGCAGGCCCGGAUAGUCGAUCCGGAGACUGGG
rnacentral:lncRNA from 1 species